rnacentral:rRNA from 1 species
AUGCAAGUCGAGCGGGGAGAUGUAGCUUGCUACAUAUCCUAGCGGCGGACGGGUGAGUAAUGCUUAGGAAUCUGCCUAUUAGUGGGGGACAACGUUCCGAAAGGAACGCUAAUACCGCAUACGCCCUACGGGGGAAAGCAGGGGAUCUUCGGACCUUGCGCUAAUAGAUGAGCCUAAGUCGGAUUAGCUAGUUGGUGGGGUAAAGGCCUACCAAGGCGACGAUCUGUAGCGGGUCUGAGAGGAUGAUCCGCCACACUGGGACUGAGACACGGCCCAGACUCCUACGGGAGGCAGCAGUGGGGAACAUUGGACAAUGGGCGGAAGCCUGAUCCAGCCAUGCCGCGUGUGUGAAGAAGGCCUUUUGGUUGUAAAGCACUUUAAGCGAGGAGGAGGCUCCUUUAGUUAAUACCUAAAGAGAGUGGACGUUACUCGCAGAAUAAGCACCGGCUAACUCUGUGCCAGCAGCCGCGGUAAUACAGAGGGUGCGAGCGUUAAUCGGAUUUACUGGGCGUAAAGCGUGCGUAGGCGGCUUUUUAAGUCGGAUGUGAAAUCCCUGAGCUUAACUUAGGAAUUGCAUUCGAUACUGGAAAGCUAGAGUAUGGGAGAGGAUGGUAGAAU